CCUACGGGCGGCAGCAGUGGGGAAUAUUGCGCAAUAGGCGAAAGCCUGACGCAGCGACGCCGCGUGAGGGAUGAAGGUCUUCGGAUCGUAAACCUCUGUCAGCAGGGAAGAACGGUCACUGUGCUAAUCAGCAGUGAAUUGACGGUACCUGCAAAGGAAGCACCGGCUAACUCCGUGCCAGCAGCCGCGGUAAUACGGAGGGUGCGAGCGUUAAUCGGAAUUACUGGGCGUAAAGCGCUCGUAGGCGGUAUGUCAAGUCAAGGGGGAAAUCCCCGCGCUCAACGUGGGAACUGCCUUUGAAACUGGCAAACUGGAGUGUGUGAGAGGAUAGUGGAAGUCCAGGUGUAGGAGUGAAAUCCGUAGAUAUCUGGAGGAACAUCAGUGGCGAAGGCGACUAUCUGGCACAUAACUGACGCUGAGGAGCGAAAGCGUGGGUAGCAAACAGGAUUAGAUACCCCUGUAGUC
rnacentral:rRNA from 1 species